CGCCGCGCAGAGGACAGGACGUCCUGCAUGUUUCCUGAAACAGUGACGCCCGCGGCCGGCAGCCGGGAGGCGGCGUGGGAAGAGCCUGUGUGUCUCCACCGCCAUCCCGCCCCUCCCAGCGCUGCUUCCCUCUCCCUGCACUGUCCCCGCUUAGCACUGACUGCCGCCCGGUUACUGUAUGUUUCCGAUUUCAGGUGUAGGUGUACUUUAAGGGAAAAUUGCUGAGACUUUGGAGGGGUGAAAGGAUGAGGAAACCCUUUAACUUCAGAUGCAAUUUAAGAUGGAAAAUAUUACGGUCUUUUCUUCCAUGAAUUCUUAGGCAGGGGGGAGAUCAAAUUCAGGGAGUUCCAUUCCUGCUGACGUCGGAUCCCUGAGGCCGCUUCCUCCGCAUUAGGAACUCUGGGCCAUGAGGACCCGGAGGCCACUGAGCAGUGCCCGCCACUCCCUCCCUCCCAGGCCGGCCCUUCUUCUCCAGCCCCGGCUGCCAGAAGAGAAAAGUUAGCAACCAGCCAGAGUCCCGAGUCAGACACAAGAAACCUCCCCUCCCGGGGCAAGGAUGACAUGGAGGAGAGCAUGUCAGCUCUCCCUGUAGCAGGCCGCCUUCCUCUGGGCGCAGUGACCCAGUAACUUCAGAUGCGGAUGUGCUUCCCUGGGAGCGAUCGCAUUCCUGUCUAUAGAACCCGUGCUCGGACGGGUCAGUUACCGGGUCAGCGGGGACUCGCAUCCCUUCGCGCGCUGGCUGGCUGGGAACCCAGGGAGGUGCUGAGGGCUCCGGGCUUUAGUUCCCUAUCAGCUCCAUCAACCUGUUUAACUCCACUCGGCCGCCUCUGAGGACUCAUGACUGUCUCUGUGGCAGCGAGUGUGAUGGGCCGAACAGCAGGUGCAGGACACCAGGCCAGAAGCCCCCCCUGAGGCCCAGGCUGGCCUCAUCGCUCCUGGCCUUGCUCACGGCUGCGUUCAGCUGGGCAGAGGCAGGGGAAGAGCGAAGCCUUCCUAGGGGCCUGCACUCAAGUCUGCUGCCCGGUCCUGAGCCGCCCCCCCCCUCCACC